ACUCAAGUAUUCUAAAACCUUCAUGUCUUUGGCACAGAUGCAGAGUGACAGUAAUUACUGUAACAUUGAAAUUAUUACUGGGAUGUUUAAAAUAUGCAGUUCACAAAACACUUAAUAAUGGAUCACGUGUAUUGGGAAAUUCCCUGACCCUUGUCAGGUAAUGAUGAAGAAUGGAGUGUUCAGUAAUUUGGGAAAUCGAACCUUAACACUUGUACUCAUAUAUACCUAAUAAUUGACCCGUCUUUAUCACGUUGGAGUCCUCAUUUCCAUGCUAACUGCCUGCCACCUUGCUGGCCUAUAUCAUGGAGCAUUUGCUGUAUCACUUUUCGCAACCUAAUUCGAUCAGGUGGCCUGCGACCUCUGGCAAUUCCACUGCGACCUCUGGCGACCUAAAGCGACUAGAAAAAUCAAGGUCGCGGUGGCAUAAGACCUCCUACGAGGUUCCGCGACAAUGUGCACGACCUCCUAAGACUGUUGAAUACCUCUCUCGCCUACGAAGAAGAUCUCCUUCGACCUCCUUCGACUGUUAAAGACUGGCUUUAAGGCCUUCGGAAUCGCGCGAUAUGGGGAGAAGGCAGGCACGGGUUACUGAUUGUGGAUGAGCAGCCAUGAUCACAAUGAAUGGCGGUGCUGGCUCGAAUGGACAAAUGGCCUCCUCCUGCACCUAUCUUCUAUGUUUCUAUGUUAACGAUGAUAUAUAAUUGAUCGUCUAAGGUUAAAGUGAGCAAUACUGAAUUUUGUAUUUUUAUUUUAUUAGGAGCGCCCAUAUGGGAACGAUAUCUAGAAUGCAAAGAACUGCUCCAAAAGACAAUGCGACAGAUUCUGCUAAAAAAUGCAGAAAUUAUCCAACUGCAGACAAAGAUUAAGGAAGCAUCGGAUUCCAGAAUUCCAGGUACAU